GAGAAGCUCUGAGAGCACGAAGGGCACUGAUAUGGCUUCUCGCCUGUGUGAGUGUGCAGGUGGGAUUUCAGGCUGGCCUUUUGUGAGAAGCUCUGAAGGCAUGAAGGGCAUUGAAAUGGCUUCUCACCUGUGUGGGUGCGUAGGUGAACUUUUAACUUGGUUCUGUAUGAGAAGCUCCGAGGGCAUGAAGGGCACUGAAAUGGCUUCUCGCCAGUAUGGAUGCUGGCAUGUGCUUCCAGACGAAACAGUUUAUUAGCCUCGUAGUCACAUUGGUGAAGGAAUUCUUGCUUUGAGUUGUCACAUGUGGCAGUUGAUGGAGAAAUAGGAGGCCUCGAUGCUGCACAAAUAAAACAAAAGUA
rnacentral:lncRNA from 1 species